rnacentral:rRNA from 1 species
UACGUAGGGUGCGAGCGUUAAUCGGAAUUACUGGGCGUAAAGCGUGCGCAGGCGGUUUUGUAAGCCAGAUGUGAAAUCCCCGGGCUUAACCUGGGAAUGGCAUUUGGGACUGCAAGGCUUGAGUGCGGCAGAGGAGACUGGAAUUCCUGGUGUAGCAGUGAAAUGCGUAGAUAUCGAGAGGAACACCGGUGGCGAAGGCGAGUCCCUGGACAAUCCCUGACACUGAGGCACGAAAGCUAGGGGAGCAAACAGG